rnacentral:tRNA from 1 species
GGUUGUUUGGCCGAGCGGUCUAAGGCGUCCGAUUCAAGUACUCGGAUAUCGUAAGAUGCAAGAGUUCGAAUCUCUUAGCAACCA